ACUGAACGGCGGACGGGUGAGUAACGCGUGGGUAACCUGCCUCAUACAGGGGGAUAACAGUUGGAAACGGCUGCUAAUACCGCAUAAGCGCACAGUACCGCAUGGUACGGUGCGAAAAACUCCGGUGGUAUGAGAUGGACCCGCGUCUGAUUAGGUAGUUGGUGGGGUAACGGCCUACCAAGCCGACGAUCAGUAGCCGACCUGAGAGGGUGACCGGCCACAUUGGGACUGAGACACGGCCCAA
rnacentral:rRNA from 1 species